CUACCCUUGACAUGUCUGGAAUUCCGAAGAGAUUUGGAAGUGCUCGAAAGAGAACCAGAACACAGGUGCUGCAUGGCCGUCGUCAGCUCGUGUCGUGAGAUGUUGGGUUAAGUCCCGCAACGAGCGCAACCCUUGUCAUUAGUUGCUACGAAAGGGCACUCUAAUGAGACUGCCGGUGACAAACCGGAGGAAGGUGGGGAUGACGUCAGGUCAUCAUGGCCCUUAUGGGUAGGGCUACACACGUCAUACAAUGGCCGGUACAGAGGGUUGCCAACCCGCGAGGGGGAGCCAAUCCCAGAAAACCGGUCGUAGUCCGGAUCGCAGUCUGCAACUCGACUGCGUGAAGUCGGAAUCGCUAGUAAUCGCGGAUCAGCUUGCCGCGGUGAAUACGUUCCC
rnacentral:rRNA from 1 species